UACGAAGGGGGCUAGCGUUGUUCGGAAUUACUGGGCGUAAAGCGUUUGUAGGCGGUUAUACAAGUCAGAUGUGAAAGCCUGAGGCUCAACCUCAGAAUUGCAUUUGAAACUGUAUAGCUAGAGAAUGUUAGAGGAAAGUGGAAUUCCUAGUGUAGGAGUGAAAUCCGUAGAGAUUAGGAGGAAUAUCGAUGGCGAAGGCAGCUUUCUGGGACAUUUCUGACGCUGAGAAACGAAAGCGUGGGUAGCAAACAGG
rnacentral:rRNA from 1 species